AUCUACGGCCAUACCACCCUGGACACACCUGAUCUCGGAAGCUAAGCAGGGUCGGGCCUGGUUGGUACUUGGAUGGGAGACCAAAGGCUGUGUUCGGGCAUCUCACCAUGAGUU
rnacentral:rRNA from 1 species